UAGUCCUUGAUGAUUAUUGGCUUUGGGAUCCUGACUUUGCAACUGCUUCAAAGUAUGUGAUGAGUCCUCCAAUCCGGGAAGCAGGGCAUAAUAAAGCACUUCAAGCUGCUCUUUCAUCAGGAAUAUUACAGCUUGUGGGAACUGAUCAUUG